ACGUAGGAGGCGAGCGUUAUUCGGAUUUACUGGGCGUAAAGCGUGUGUAGGUGGUGCGGUUAGUUGGAUGUGAAAGCUCCUGGCUUAACUGGGAGAGGUCGUUCAAUACUGCCGUGCUAGAGAGUGAGAGAGGGAAGUGGAAUUCCGGGUGUAGUGGUGAAAUGCGUAGAUAUCCGGAGGAACACCAGUGGCGAAAGCGUCUUCCUGGCUCAUUUCUGACACUCAGACACGAAAGCUAGGGUAGCAAACGGGAUUAGAGACCCCGGUAGUCCUAGCUGUAAACGAUGUAGACUUGGCGUUGGUGGUGUUAAAUCCAUCGGUGCCGAAGCUAACGCGAUAAGUCUACCGCCUGGGGAUUACGGCCGCAAGGCUA
rnacentral:rRNA from 1 species